GACGAACGCUGGCGGCGCGCCUAACACAUGCAAGUCGAACGAGCGAGAGAGAGCUUGCUUUCUCGAGCGAGUGGCGAACGGGUGAGUAACGCGUGAGGAACCUGCCUCAAAGAGGGGGACAACAGUUGGAAACGACUGCUAAUACCGCAUAAGCCCACGGCUCGGCAUCGAGCCGGGGGAAAAGGAGCAAUCCGCUUUGAGAUGGCCUCGCGUCCGAUUAGCUAGUUGGUGAGGUAACGGCCCACCAAGGCGACGAUCGGUAGCCGGACUGAGAGGUUGAACGGCAACAUUGGGACUGAGACACGGCCCAGACUCCUACGGGAGGCAGCAGUGGGGAAUAUUGCAAAAUGGGGGAAACCCUGAUGCAGCGACGCCGCGUGGAGGAAGAAGGUCUUCGGAUUGUAAACUCCUGUUGUUGGGGAAGAUAAUGACGGUACCCAACAAGGAAGUGACGGCUAACUACGUG
rnacentral:rRNA from 1 species